rnacentral:rRNA from 1 species
UACGUAGGGUGCGAGCGUUGUCCGGAAUUAUUGGGCGUAAAGAGCUUGUAGGCGGUCUGUCGCGUCUGCUGUGAAAAUCCGGGGCUCAACCCCGGACUUGCAGUGGGUACGGGCAGACUAGAGUGUGGUAGGGGAGACUGGAAUUCCUGGUGUAGCGGUGAAAUGCGCAGAUAUCAGGAGGAACACCGGUGGCGAAGGCGGGUCUCUGGGCCGAUAUUGACGCUGAGGAGCGAAAGCGUGGGGAGCAAACAGG